rnacentral:rRNA from 1 species
AUUGCACGCUGGCGGCAGGCCUAACACAUGCAAGUCGAGCGGAGCGGCGGACGGGUGAGUAAUGCCUAGGAAUCUGCCUGGUAGUGGGGGAUAACGUCCGGAAACGGGGGCUAAUACCGCAUACUAUCAGAUGAGCCUAGGUCGGAUUAGCUAGUUGGUGGGGUAAAGGCCUACCAAGGCGACGAUCCGUAACUGGUCUGAGAGGAUGAUCAGUCACACUGGAACUGAGACACGGUCCAGACUCCUACGGGAGGCAGCAGUGGGGAAUAUUGGACAAUGGGCGAAAGCCUGAUCCAGCCAUGCCGCGUGUGUGAAGAAGGUCUCCGGAUUGUAAAGCACUUUAAGUUGGGAGGCGUUACCCGCAGAAGAAGCACCGGCUAACUCCGUGCCAGCAGCCGCGGUAAUUC